rnacentral:rRNA from 1 species
GAUGAACGCUGGCGGCGUGCCUAAUACAUGCAAGUCGAGCGAACAGACGAGGAGCUUGCUCCUCUGACGGUAGCGGCGGACGGGUGAGUAACACGUGGAUAACCUACCUAAAAUACUGGGAUAACUUCGGGAAACCGGAUGUAAUACCGGAUAAUAUAUUGAACCGCAUGGUUCAGUAGUGAAAGACGGUGUUGCUGUCACUUAUAGAUGGAUACCCGCCGCAUUAGCCAGUUGGUAAGGUAACGGCUUACCAAGGCAACGAUGCGUAACCGACCCGAGAGGGUGGUCGGCCACACGGGCACUGAGACACAGUCGACACUCCGACGGGAGGCAGCAGUAGAGACUCCUACGCGAUGGGCGAGAGCCUAACGGAGCACAGCCGCGUGAGUGAUGAACCUGUUAGGCUCGUUAAACGAUGAUAGUAGGGAGGAAGAAAUGUGUAAGUACCUGUGAACGUAUUGACGGUACCUAGUCAGAAAGCCCCGGCUAACUACGUG